UUUAUCAUCUCUCCCUGUCUCACUGCAGAGCUUUCUAUGCAGCGCAGCCUCCAGGUCCUUGGAUAACCCCAGCCCAGGAACAGCAGCAGCGAUGCGCUGAGCCCGAUGCUGAGCCCCGAGCAGGCACGGAGGAGGCAGAAAACACCGCGCUCCUCUGCGGAGAGGAUCCCCACACCCAGCCCCAGAUCCCCGCAUCCGGGAGCGCUGCCAACAGGCUGCUUUCAGGAGCUGCAGACAGGAAACGGCAAAGGAUCCAAAGGCCCGAACAGACUCCUCCAUUAACUUCUGCCUAUUCUGGUACGGGUGUCUCAAUUCCAGAAGAUCUACCAUGAAGAAACUCUUAUGUCUUCAGUUUAAAGCUUUUCCCUGGAGACAGCCCCUAUGCAAAGGACACCACAAAAACCACCACAGUGGCAUUACCAAGCCCAGUGCCCCUCCUUCUUGAAAGAACAGUGGAAAAAAGUCAAGGGACCGAG